rnacentral:rRNA from 1 species
UACGUAGGUGGCAAGCGUUGUCCGGAUUUACUGGGCGUAAAGAGCGCGCAGGCGGUCGUUUAAGUCGAAUGUGAAAGCCCCCGGCUCAACUGGGGAGGGUCAUUCGAUACUGAUCGACUUUGAAGGCAGGAGAGAGAAGUGGAAUUCCCGGUGUAGUGGUGAAAUGCGUAGAUAUCGGGAGGAACACCAGUGGCGAAGGCGACUUCUUGGCCUGUUCUUGACGCUGAGGCGCGGAAAGCUGGGGGAGCAAACGGG